rnacentral:rRNA from 1 species
AGCGGCGGACGGGUGAGUAACGGCGUGGUAACCUGCCUCAUACAGGGGAGUAACAGUUGGAAACGGCUGCUAAUACCGCAUAAGCGCACAGUACCGCAUGGUACCGUGUGAAAAACUCCGGUGGUAUGAGAUGGACCCGCGUCUGAUUAGCUAGUUGGUGGGGUAACGGCCUACCAAGCGACGAUCAGUAGCCGACCUGAGAGGGUGACCGGCCACAUUGGGACUGAGACACGGCCCAA